rnacentral:rRNA from 1 species
UACGUAGGGGGCAAGCGUUAAUCGGAAUUACGGGGCGUAAAGCGCACGUAGGCGGCUUCUCAAGUCAGGGGUGAAAUCCUGGAGCUCAACUCCAGAACUGCCUUUGAUACUGAGGGGCUCGAGUCCGGGAGAGGUGAGUGGAACUGCGAGUGUAGAGGUGAAAUUCGUAGAUAUUCGCAAGAACACCAGUGGCGAAGGCGGCUCACUGGCCCGGUACUGACGCUGAGGUGCGAAAGCGUGGGGAGCAAACAGG